UUCUUAUCAAGAGAGGCAGAGGGACUGGCCCUAUGAAGCCUCAGCAACCGGUUCAAAACGAGUGAAGAUCUCGUAACCGUUGAUUUGCGUAUUUUUGAGAAACCUUAGGUAGUUUUUUACAGCACCGACGGAUAAAUCAAAAUGCAUCGAACAAAGCGUCCUUGUUUGUUCGAGGCAUUUUGAUUUAUCCGUCGCAGGCUUGCAACGCAAGCCGCAAGCACUUGCGUGCUGUAAAAAACCAAACAACACUACUUAUAGAGUUUCCUAAGUUCAACCCGCAAAUCAACUAUUUCUUAAGCUCCACCCAAGAUCUUCUACAAGUGCCAAGGUGCUAAAUCCAGCAAGCCACACCAGCAUUAUGCUUGAGAGAUAAGAA
rnacentral:ncRNA from 1 species